AAUUUGUGGGCAAAACAUUUUGCAGCCCUGUUACAGCGUGUCGGUAUUAACUUAUCGGCUAAACGCGUUUUUGGUAUUUUUAUUUGCAACGAUAUUUAUCGUCCUGCAUUACUCAUCUUUAGGAGCAGCAUCAAUGGCAGCGUUUCCUGAGUUUUGGCCCAGUAAUCCGCCGUGGGAACCUGCGUCUUAUUGAAAACAGUGGUAACUUCCUCUGUGGCGGCUAUCGCGCGUCAUGCAUCUCACUCAGCUGGCAGGUACGCUUAUGAUGGAUGGCCACUCGGGCAAUUCAGGAAGUGAGGGGAGCCCACAUGAAGCUGCUGGGCUAUACCGUCGCUCAUGCCAAUUAGUGGUUUGGCUCAGUGGAUCGUCGUGGAGCAGAUCAUCUUAUCUGAGUAUUGCAUGUCAGCUGGCUUGGCAGCCGCAGCAACGCAUUGGGUGGCCCGCAGUACAGGCCGGUUGCAGUUCAGGGUGCUAGGUGGAGCCCACAAGGAGCUGCUGAGCUGUUGCAUAUUUUGUUCGAGUGGGCGAUGCCGAUGCCGUCGCUCACUGCAAAUUGUGUAUUUAACCAGGAGGCCAUCGUGGGGCGUAUCAUCUUCUUGUUUGACCAGGAAUUGUUUGUAUGGGCGAUGCCGGAGCAGUCGCCCACUCCAAGUUGGGUAUUCAACCAGCAGGCCGUCGUGGAGCAUGUCAUCUUUUGGACAGCGCAUUUUCGUCGUGAUUUGGAAGCGUCCAGCGUCGUCUCUCACACGCCACGCAGCUUGGCCAGAAAUUGUUUGACUGGGCGAUACCGAAGCAAUCGCUCACCUCAAAUUGAGUACUGGGCCCAGUCGACCGUCAUAGGCGCAUCGUCUUUAUUUGCAGGACAGCACUUAGUGUCAUGGUUUGGAAACAUCCGUUGGCGUCUCUCACUCGCCACGAAGCUUGCCAGUAAUUGCAUGUCAGUUGGCUUGGCGGUCACAGUAACGCAUUCAAUCGGCUCAAUAGUAAUGGAUGGCCUGGAAGCAGGCCGGUAGCGAUUCAGAUUGCUAGAUGGAGCCCAACAGGAGCUGCUGAGCUGUUGCCCACUUUGUUUGAGAGGGCGGUGCCGGAGCUGUCGCUCACUCCAGGUUGAGUAUUUAGCCAGCAGGCCGUCGUGGAGCAUGUCAUCUUCUUGGACAGCGCAUCAUCUUCGUGAUUUGGAAAUAUCUGGUGGCGUCUCUCACACGCCACGCAGCUUGACCAGGAAUUGUUUGUAUGAGCGAUACCGAAGCAGUCGCUCACUUCAAAUGAGUAUUUGGCCCAAUUUACCGUCGUGGGUGCAUCGUCUUCUUGGGCAGCAGUUCUGCGUCUUGCUUUAGAAACAUUCAUUGUCGUCUCUCACACUCCACAAUCCGUCCAGUAGUUGCAUGUCAGCAGACCCGGGUGGCCCGCAAACAGGCCGGUUGCAGUUCAGGAUGCUAGAUGGAGCCCACAAGGAGCUGCUGGGCUGUUGAAUACCUUGUUCGA